rnacentral:rRNA from 1 species
AAUAACUUCGAGAAAUCGAGGCUAAUACCGCAUAAUAUCUACGGAUUAAAGCAUUUAUGCGCUAAGGGAGGGGCCUGCGUCUGAUUAGCUAGUUGGUGAGGUAAAAGCUCACCAAGGCGACGAUCAGUAGCUGGAUCGAGAGGUUGACCAGCCACACUGGGACUGAGAUACGGCCCAGACUCCUACGGGAGGCAGCAGUGAGGAAUCUUCCGACAAUGGACGAAAGUCUGAUGGAGCAAUGCCGCGUGCAGGAUGACGGCCUUCGGGUUGUAAACUGCUUUUAUAUGGGAAGAGUUAUGACGGUACCACUAUGAAUAAGGACCGGCUAACUACGUG